rnacentral:tRNA from 1 species
GCCCGUGUAGCUCAGUUGGCAGAGCGGUUCAUUCGUAAUGAACAGGUCCGGGGUUCAAUUCCCCGCGCGGGCUC